rnacentral:rRNA from 1 species
GACGAACGCUGGCGGCGUGCUUAACACAUGCAAGUCGAACGGAAAGGCCCUGCUUUUGUGGGGUGCUCGAGUGGCGAACGGGUGAGUAACACGUGAGUAACCUGCCCUUGACUUUGGGAUAACUUCAGGAAACUGGGGCUAAUACCGGAUAGAAGCUCCUGCUGCAUGGUGGGGGUUGGAAAGUUUCGGCGGUUGGGGAUGGACUCGCGGCUUAUCAGCUUGUUGGUGGGGUAGUGGCUUACCAAGGCUUUGACGGGUAGCCGGCCUGAGAGGGUGACCGGCCACAUUGGGACUGAGAUACGGCCCAGACUCCUACGGGAGGCAGCAGUGGGGAAUAUUGCACAAUGGGCGGAAGCCUGAUGCAGCAACGCCGCGUGCGGGAUGACGGCCUUCGGGUUGUAAACCGCUUUCGCCUGUGACGAAGCGUGAGUGACGGUAAUGGGUAAAGAAGCACCGGCUAACUACGUGCCAGCAGCCGCGGUGAUACGUAGGGUGCGAGCGUUGUCCGGAUUUAUUGGGCGUAAAGGGCUCGUAGGUGGUUGAUCGCGUCGGAAGUGUAAUCUUGGGGCUUAACCCUGAGCGUGCUUUCGAUACGGGUUGACUUGAGGAAGGUAGGGGAGAAUGGAAUUCCUGGUGGAGCGGUGGAAUGCGCAGAUAUCAAGAGGAACACCAGUGGCGAAGGCGGUUCUCUGGGCCUUUCCUGACGCUGAGGAGCGAAAGCGUGGGGAGCGAACAGGCUUAGAUACCCUGGUAGUCCACGCUGUAAACGGUGGGUACUAGGUGUGGGGUCCAUUCCACGGGUUCCGUGCCGUAGCUAACGCUUUAAGUACCCCGCCUGGGGAGUACGGCCGCAAGGCUAAAACUCAAAGGAAUUGACGGGGCCCCGCACAAGCGGCGGAGCAUGCGGAUUAAUUCGAUGCAACGCGUAGAACCUUACCUGGGUUUGACAUGGAUCGGGAGCGCUCAGAGAUGGGUGUGCCUCUUUUGGGGUCGGUUCACAGGUGGUGCAUGGCUGUCGUCAGCUCGUGUCGUGAGAUGUUGGGUUAAGUCCCGCAACGAGCGCAACCCUUGUUCACUGUUGCCAGCACGUUAUGGUGGGGACUCAGUGGAGACCGCCGGGGUCAACUCGGAGGAAGGUGGGGAUGACGUCAAGUCAUCAUGCCCCUCAUGUCCAGGGCUUCACGCAUGCUACAAUGGCUGGUACAGAGAGUGGCGAGCCUGUGAGGGUGAGCGAAUCUCGGAAAGCCGGUCUCAGUUCGGAUUGGGGUCUGCAACUCGACCUCAUGAAGUCGGAGUCGCUAGUAAUCGCAGAUCAGCAACGCUGCGGUGAAUACGUUCCCGGG